rnacentral:rRNA from 1 species
GACGAACGCUGGCGGCGUGCCUAAUACAUGCAAGUAGAACGCUGAAGGAGGAGCUUGCUUCUCUGGAUGAGUUGCGAACGGGUGAGUAACGCGUAGGUAACCUGCCUGGUAGCGGGGGAUAACUAUUGGAAACGAUAGCUAAUACCGCAUAAUAGCAGUUGUUGCAUGACAACUGUUUGAAAGGUGCAAUUGCACCACUACCAGAUGGACCUGCGUUGUAUUAGCUAGUUGGUGGGGUAACGGCUCACCAAGGCGACGAUACAUAGCCGACCUGAGAGGGUUGUCCGCCACACUGGGAACGAGAACCGGGCCAGGACCCUACGGGAAGGAGCAGGAGGGGAACUUCGGCAAUAGGCGGAAGGCUGAACGGGGAAAGCCGCGUGAGGUAAGAAGGUUUUCGGAUCGGAAAGGUCCGUUGUAAGGGGAGAACGAGUGGGAGAGUGGAAAGUUCACACUGUGACGGUAACUUACCAGAAAGGGACGGCUAACUACGUG